UGCAAUGAUCUACCUAGAGCUUGAGUUUUCUGUUAAUGUUAUACCAAGGGAGGUGCUUGGAACACAUAGUCUCUUCCAGCAAGGUGACCCAGUUCAGGGCCACCACACAAGUGUGCAGACUGCACAACAGUACCUAACCUCAGAAAUAAGUGGUGACUGGGAUCCAUCCCACUCUGCUUGCCAUUUGAUCUCCAUGCAUAAGGAGGGAAUUUUUCUCAUUCAUCUCUCUGAAGAAGAAUCUUUUUUAAAAAAACUUCACACUAAGGCUGGGCUGCUCUGACCCAGAUUGUGUGGGAAUCUGAGAUACAUCCACAUAGAACAGGACUAGAAAAUCAAAGCUCUCCUGCCUGAUGCUGACACAGCGAUUCCCUUUGUCCCGAAUCUUGGAAAGAGAUGGAAAGCUAGUUCAAGCCGCUGGACAAGAGGUGAACUGUUUUUGAUCUGACUAGAAAUGGAGGCAUUACGGGGUGUUCCGGCCAGUACCUGUGUUAAUUGACACUUCUCCCUGUUAUGCAAUCAAAGUGGUGAGCCACCUGAGGGCAGAAACAAUGGCAGCUCCAGAACUUCUAAGAGGAGGAGCAAGGGGCAGAGAUGUUAUUGGAAAAGGAGCAGUUGGAGGCUCUACCCAGGGGACUUGAUCUAAAACAAUCGUUACACAAUACCCAAGCAGCCAUUCGAAGCUUUGAGAUGAGUUGUUCUGAAGACUACAUUAAAUUCUUAGUUGUGUCUGCCUGAGACUCUCCAGAACCAAAACACAGGAGGACCUGAGCGAGCAGAGCAAAGCCACAGGCAAAUGACUCACUGGAAACCUUGAAUGUUUGCUAAGUAAGGUCUUCUGCAGCAUCUCACAUCAAAGAGCCCAGGCUCCUCCGCCCGCUGCCAGCCCGACUUAGCUUGGAGAACACUUAAGGCAUGUUGCUUCUGAUGUCUGCUAUUGGGAGACUCAUAAACCAGGUCUGGGGAGAUACUGUUUGGUGGUAGUGUUGUUUGCUUUUCACUUUUUAAGUUUUAUGUGUGUGUUUUUUGUCCGUUUGUUUAAUGAUUAUAAAAAUAAGUGCUCAAUAUUAAACAUUUGGAAAAUA